rnacentral:rRNA from 1 species
CCUACGGGUGACAGCAGUGGGGAAUAUUGCGCAAUGGGCGCAAGCCUGACGCAGCAACGCCGCGUGAUGGAAGAAGGCUUUCGGGUUGUAAACUUCUUUUAAGAGGGAAGAGCUGAAGACGGUACCUCUUGCAUACGCUACCGCUAACUACGUGCCAGGCUCCGCGGUACUACGUAGGGGGCAAGCGUUGUCCGGAUUUACUGGGUGCAAAGGCCGGGUAGCCGGGCUGACAAGUCAGGUGUGAAAUGCCGGGGCUCAACCUCGGACCUGCAUUUGAAACUGUUGGUCUUGAGUGUAGGAGAGGAAAGCGGAAUUCCUAGUGUAGCGGUGAAAUGCGUAGAUAUUAGGAGGAACACCAGUGGCGAAGGCGGCCUUCUGGACGGCAACUGACGGUGAGGCGCGAAAGCGUGGGGAGCAAACAGGAUUAGAUACCCCAGUAGUC